GCUUCGCUGACGAGUGGCGGACGGGUGAGUAAUGUCUGGGAAACUGCCUGAUGGAGGGGGAUAACUACUGGAAACGGUAGCUAAUACCGCAUAAUGUCGCAAGACCAAAGAGGGGGACCUUCGGGCCUCUUGCCAUCGGAUGUGCCCAGAUGGGAUUAGCUUGUUGGUGGGGUAACGGCUCACCAAGGCGACGAUCCCUAGCUGGUCUGAGAGGAUGACCAGCCACACUGGAACUGAGACACGGUCCAGACUCCUACGGGAGGCAGCAGUGGGGAAUAU
rnacentral:rRNA from 1 species